UUUUGUGGAGGGUUCGAUUCUGGCUCAGGAUGAACGCUGGCGGCGUGCUUAACACAUGCAAGUCGAACGGGAUCCAAGCAGCUUGCUGUUUGGUGAGAGUGGCGAACGGGU
rnacentral:rRNA from 1 species